GUUUCCAUAGCUUAACGGAUAGAGCAACAGCCUUCUAAGCUGUCGGUUGAAGGUUCGAAUCCUUCUGGGAACG
rnacentral:tRNA from 1 species